rnacentral:rRNA from 1 species
GUUGAACGCUGGCGGCGUGCCUAACACAUGCAAGUCGAACGGAAACACGAGACGGUUGCCUGUUUCACGUUCGAGGGGCGGGGGUGUGAAAAAUGUGGAGAACACUCCUUUAUGAAGGGGAAUAACUCGGGAAAACGGUGCUUAUUACGGAUAAACUUCUGAAGCGCAAAGAGGGGGAGUGACGGACGGCGUUUCUGUCAAUGUUCGCAGGUUCCGGGCUGUAUUAGCUAGUAGGUCGGGUCACGGCUUAUCUAGGCGACGAUGCGUAGGAGAGCUGAGAGGAUGAUCGGCCACACUGGAACUGAGACACGGUCCAGACUCCUACGGGAGGCAGCAGUAGGGAAUAUUGCGCAAUGGGCGCAAGCCUGACGCAGCAAUGCCGCGUGUAUGAAGAAGGCCUUCGGGUCGUAAAGUACUUUUAGCGGGGAUGAACGGAGUUGAGAUGAUACGUGUGCUGAUUGACGUUACCUGAUGAAGAAGCACCGGCUAACUACGUG